rnacentral:rRNA from 1 species
UACGAAGGGGGGCUAGCGUUGCUCGGAAUCACUGGGCGUAAAGCGCACGUAGGCGGAUUGUUAAGUCAGGGGUGAAAUCCUGGAGCUCAACUCCAGAACUGCCUUUGAUACUGGCGAUCUUGAGUCCGGGAGAGGUGAGUGGAACUGCGAGUGUAGAGGUGAAAUUCGUAGAUAUUCGCAAGAACACCAGUGGCGAAGGGCGGCUCACUGGCCCGGUACUGACGCUGAGGUGCGAAAGCGUGGGGAGCAAACAGG